rnacentral:ncRNA from 1 species
AAAUUUAAGCGCUUGGACCGUCCACAGCACAACGGUUGACGAGGUUUGGGGAGAAUCGAUUUUUUUCAGCGGGUGCCCCACGGCAGGUAUGUCGUCAGGCGGUGGGAAAAAACCGGGAGCGAUCCCGGCGACAAAGAC